rnacentral:rRNA from 1 species
AUUGAACGCUGGCGGCAGGCCUAACACAUGCAAGUCGAGCGGCAGCGGGAAAGUAGCUUGCUACUUUUGCCGGCGAGCGGCGGACGGGUGAGUAACGCCUGGGAAAUUGCCCAGUCGAGGGGGAUAACAGUUGGAAACGACUGCUAAUACCGCAUACGCCCUACGGGGGAAAGCAGGGGACCUUCGGGCCUUGCGCGACUGGAUAUGCCCAGGUGGGAUUAGCUAGUUGGUGAGGUAAUGGCUCACCAAGGCGACGAUCCCUAGCUGGUCUGAGAGGAUGAUCAGCCACACUGGAACUGAGACACGGUCCAGACUCCUACGGGAGGCAGCAGUGGGGAAUAUUGCACAAUGGGGGAAACCCUGAUGCAGCCAUGCCGCGUGUGUGAAGAAGGCCUUCGGGUUGUAAAGCACUUUCAGCGAGGAGGAAAGGUUGGCGCCUAAUACGUGUCAACUGUGACGUUACUCGCAGAAGAAGCACCGGCUAACUACGUGCCAGCAGCCGCCGUAACAC